rnacentral:rRNA from 1 species
GCACUCUAGCGAGACUGCCCGGGUUAACCGGGAGGAAGGUGGGGAUGACGUCAAAUCAUCAUGCCCCUUAUGUCUAGGGCUACACACGUGCUACAAUGGCCGGUACAACGAGAUGCAAUACCGUGAGGUGGAGCAAAACUAUAAAACCGGUCUCAGUUCGGAUUGUAGGCUGAAACUCGCCUACAUGAAGCUGGAGUUACUAGUAAUCGCGAAUCAGAAUGUCGCGGUGAAUACGUUCCCGGGCCUUGUACACACCGCCCGUCACACCAUGAGAGUUGGCAAUACCCAAAGUUGGUGAUCUAACCCGUAAGGGAGGAAGCCACCUAAGGUAGGGUCAGCGAUUGGGGUGAAGUCGUAACAAGGUAGCCGUAGGAGAACCUGCGGCUGGAUCACCUCCUUU